AGAUAUCAUCGAAGGUCCUCCAAGCUCACAAAACAGCUCCGAGAGGAUCCAAGUUUCUUUCUCAUUCGUUCCAUCGAUGGCGGCUCUUUCGACAUCUCUCUCUCUUCCCAGGAAUACUCAACAACUCCACCCUCCAUCUGGCUUUCUCUGAAGCCAGUUGCUCGUCGUGUCAACGUUUCUUUCGGUCUGAAUCCUUCUAAAAAAGCUCCAGUUUUCUGCUCCCAGAAGCAAAAGGAUCCUAACCAUCCAAUCAGCAUACAGAGAUGAUGACAGUUCAGGAAGCACUGGCCUAUUUGUGGAGGG